rnacentral:rRNA from 1 species
CGAACAUGGGGAACCUGCCCCAUAGUCUGGGAUACCACUUGGAAACAGGUGCUAAUACCGGAUAAGAAAGCGGAUCGCAUGAUCAGCUUUUAAAAGGCGGCGUAAGCUGUCGCUAUGGGAUGGCCCCGCGGUGCAUUAGCUAGUUGGUAAGGUAAAGGCUUACCAAGGCGAUGAUGCAUAGCCGAGUUGAGAGACUGAUCGGCCACAUUGGGACUGAGACACGGCCCAAACUCCUACGGGAGGCAGCAGGG